GUCAGUGUGAGUGAGAGGAGAGACGCAGCUGAACGCGUUCAGUAGACGCGUCGCGCAGCGGAGGAGACACACACCUGAGGAAUAGCGGCGCGAUGGCUGAUCAUCUGAUACAGAUCAAUGACUCUUCCGCCGCUUUCAAUCGAUUCGCGCGGAAAGGAGCUCUGCGACAGAAGAACGUGCACGAAGUUAAAAACCACAAAUUCACCGCUCGGUUCUUCAAGCAGCCCACAUUCUGCAGCCACUGCACCGACUUUAUCUGGGGAUUUGGAAAACAAGGUUUCCAGUGCCAAGUGUGCUGUUUUGUGGUCCACAAAAGGUGCCAUGAGUUUGUUACGUUCUCCUGUCCAGGAGCCGACAAGGGCCCUGACACAGAUGAUCCCAGAAGCAAGCACAAGUUCAAGAUCCACACCUACGGCAGUCCCACCUUUUGCGACCACUGCGGAUCGCUGCUGUACGGCCUCAUCCACCAGGGGAUGAAAUGUGACACCUGCGACAUGAAUGUUCAUAAACAGUGUGUGAUGAACGUGCCAAGUCUGUGCGGGACCGACCACACUGAACGCAGAGGAAGACUCUUCCUCAAGAUCGAGGUCAGCGGAGACAGACUCCACGUCACAGUGGGUGAGGCCAGAAAUCUGAUUCCCAUGGACCCCAAUGGGUUGUCAGACCCGUAUGUGAAGCUCAAACUCAUCCCAGACCCCAAGAAUGAGACCAAGCAGAAGACCCGGACCAUCCGCUCCUCACUCAACCCCACCUGGAACGAGUCCUUCAUCUUUAAGUUAAAGCCAUCGGAUAAGGAACGCCGUCUGUCCGUGGAGGUGUGGGACUGGGACAGAACCACCCGUAAUGACUUCAUGGGCUCCAUGUCCUUUGGCGUGUCUGAGCUGAUCAAGGCUCCUGUAUGCGGCUGGUAUAAGAUGUUAAACCAGGAGGAGGGUGAGUACUACAACGUGCCCAUCCCAGAGGAGAAUGACAUUAACCUGGAGCUGCGGCACAAGUUUGAGGCCUGUCAGUUCAAUAUCCACCUGCUGAAGAAAGCCAAGUUCGGUCCUGGGAAGAAAGUCAUCACUCCCACUGAUCACCGACGCUUCAGUUUUCCAUCUGGAAACUUGAACAGAGUUCAACUCAGUGACUUCCAUUUUCUGGCUCUUCUGGGCAAAGGCAGUUUUGGGAAGGUGAUGUUGGCAGAGAUGAAGUCCACUGAGGAGCUGUAUGCCAUUAAAAUCCUGAAGAAGGACGUGGUGAUCCAGGAUGAUGAUGUGGAGUGCACAAUGGUGGAGAAGAGAGUGCUGGCCCAAAAAGAUAAGCCACCUUUCCUCACCCAGCUGCACUCCUGCUUCCAGACUGUGGAUCGUCUGUACUUUGUAAACGAUUAAAACAACAUUUAACACAUCAAGCAACACAUCAAACAAUUCAGCAAGUUUAAGGAGCCACAAGUCGUAUUCUAUGCAGCAGAGAUUGCUGUCGGACUCUUCUUUCUUCAUAGGAAGGGAAUUAUUUACAGAGAUCUGAAGUUGGAUAACGUGAUGUUGGACUCCGAGGGCCACAUCAAGAUUGCAGACUUCGGCAUGUGUAAGGAAAACAUGUUUGAGGGCAUGGCAACACGCACCUUCUGUGGAACGCCAGAUUACAUCGCCCCAGAGAUAAUCGCCUAUCAGCCGUAUGGUAAAUCGGUGGACUGGUGGGCGUACGGUGUGCUCCUCUACGAGAUGCUAGCUGGGCAGCCUCCGUUUGAUGGCGAGGACGAGGAUGAGCUGUUUCAGUCAAUAAUGGAGCACAACGUGUCCUACCCUAAAUCCAUGUCCAAAGAAGCAGUGUCCAUCUGUAAAGGGCUGAUGACGAAGCAUCCAUCCAAGCGUCUAGGUUGCAGUCCAGAGGGUGAGCGAGAUAUAAAGGAGCAAGCUUUCUUCCGCAGAAUCGACUGGGAACGGUUGGCCAACAGAGAGAUCCAGCCUCCUUUCAAACCCAAAGUGUGCGGCAAAGCAGCGGAGAACUUUGACAAAUUCUUCACCCGCACGCAGCCCAUGCUGACCCCUCCAGACCAGCUGGUCAUGGCCAACAUCGACCAGAGCGAAUUCGCUGGAUUCUCUUACAUAAACCCAGAGUUCAUCCACCCAUCGACGCUCCACAGUGUGGUAUGAGACGGCCAAAAGAAGAAGAGGACAGCCCAUCCUGCUCAAACAAACAACCACAUCCACGUUAUUUAUGAACUCACCAAAUCUUUAUAGACAGUUGAAUACCCUUUAUCUGAACAUAUCUGAACUGAGGAGGGCUGCUUGAAUGGAAAUAAUAUUCUAAAGCAUGUGUCCACAUUCAGACUUCUAAUGGAGCUGGUGUAAGAUCUGUUCCAUAGACUGGUGAGCAUUUUAAGGCACCACAGACUCGUUCCUGACAAAUGAUUCUUUUAUGAGGUUCCAUCUCAGUUAGGAUGCUGCUUGUGUAGGCAGUAGACAGAAAGGCAGCUCUCUAGGCUUUGAAACAGAGUGAUAAUGUCCUCAUAGUAAUGACAGUUCAUCAAUUGCCUGUAUGCAGAUAGAUGUUAUGUGCAGGUUCAGUAUAUUUUACAAAACACAGAUAUUUUUGAAGGUGGAGAUAUUGAACGAUCCCUUUUUCCAGUCCUCAGAUUCUUUGUGUGUGAAGCAUGCUGACAUGAAACAGGUUUUUGUGUCCUAUUACUUUUAACCUCUCCUGCCAUUUCUAAUGUUCCUGAAUUAUAUAUUUGUAAAUCUAAAAAAAAAUCUUGUAAUAGGAGUGCCAAAAUAUAACUGCAUCAAAAGGUUUUUUAUAUCCAGUUCUAUAUAUGCAUAUUGAUUUCCGACUAGAUCUCUUGGUGGUGUCCCUUAACUUGGGCUGAAACUUGAACCCUUAUUGCUCCUCGAGUUUUAGCAUGACAACUUCCAACCCCAUCACUGCCUGCUCGCCUGGUUCUGACAUAUUCAACUUUUCCUCUCGCUCUAAAUGUAUGAAUUGUGAUUCCUCGAUGCUAAUACGCAGGCCUUCCACACCCGCAGAAUCCUACAGAUCACCUGUCCUAUACUCAUCCACUUGCAUGAUUGUUUUUAUUAAAUACUUUGGAUAAUCUAAAAACACUGUUUUGUUUAACAUAUUUUACCUUGUUUAAAUCCAUCCUGCAGAUUUUCUGUCAUGUUUAGAACAAAAAAAAUUCUGCAGAUUCUGCCUGGGCCUGAUAAUAAGUAUCCAGUGCAACAUUUCAAACCAGAAUGAGUCACUUCUGUUAGAGAUGGAUAUAUGGUCUUUGGUUUAAAACUUGCAUAUUAUGCUAAAGAAAUCUACCACUGCUACAACAUGAACAUUGUAACGAGAAACAAAAAAAAAAAGAUGCUGUACUUGAAACUGUAGGGGGUGAGUCUCCGAAACCUGUCAAAACCAUGUUAUGGACAUAUUUCACACCAGAAAAUAUUUGCUUAAAGAAAAAGAAUCCUGUUUUAAAACCAUUAAGAGGGGAAUUUUUUUUUUUUUUUUUUUUUUUUUGCAUUGUGACAUUUUCAUGACUGUUAAGUAUGGAAGCUUGUUUCUGCUACUGAAUAAAAAAUAAAACAAGGUCAUUUUUCUCAGUUGCGAUUUCAUAUCUUGCAAAUCUGACUUUAUAACUCGCAAUUGAGAGUUAAAAAGUCAAAAUUGUGAGUUAUAAAGUCAGAAUUGCGAGAUAUAAACUCGCAAUUCUGAGAAAUAAAGUUGUUUAUAUCUCGCAAUUCAGACUUUUUUUUUUUCUCAUAAUUGCGCGUUCAAAUUCCGCAAUUCUGACUAUAUUUCUCACAAUCCCACAAAAAGUUUAUAUCUCGCAAUUCGGACUUUUAUAACCUGCAAUUUUGAAUUUAUAACUUGCAAUAAAAAAUAAGGUAAUUGCGACUUUAUAUCACACAAUUCUGAGAAAAAAAAGUCAGAUUUGUGAGAUAAAAAGUUGCAGUUACCUUGUUUUAUUUUUUAUUUAGUGGUGGAAACUGGCUUCCAUAGUUAAGCACCUUUACCCUGAAAGCUAAAUAAAAAAAUGAAACCCUUGCUUUAAUGUGGAAAAAGUGAAAUGAAGAUGUACUAUUUAAUAUACAUUAAUUAUAAAUCAUGGUAGUGUUUGUUGUGUAUGCUGCUUAUUACUGUAAUUAUUUGAUAAUAAUGAGAAUCUAAUGAAAAUCACAGCUGGAAACAAAGAGAAUUACAGAAAAAGUAAAAAGUGUUAAUGCAAUUAAAAUGUGCGUAACUGACACAGAAAUUAUGCCACAAUGCAAAAACUCCUAAUGGUCUUAAAAUUUUCAAAUUCAUAUGAAAACUUUAUUUUCAUAUGAAUCAUUACAGUUUAUGACUCCCUAAUGCCCAACAUGAUUUUUUUUUUUUUUUGGACAAAUGUUGGAGGUGGGUGGGAGGUCAGUCAUGUAUAACUUCUAAUAUAACCGUCUCUGAUAGUGUUUCUGUCCUUUGGUGAUCAAUACUCUUCAUGUUCUUAUCAAAAGGGAACUUUCCAGUAUAUAUCGGAUAUUUUUAUCUUUUUAGGUCUUAGUUUAUGAUCAUCUUGCAUUUUUGCUCUGUGAGUAUUUUUACGUAGAGCGCUAUGUUUACUGUUAAACUAAAGUUACACUAUAUAUACCAAGACUUUUGUAAAUACAGAGAAGGCGUACAUUAUCCUGCAGAUUUUAUACUAAGAACUGAAUGUGCUUUUACUAACUUAGAUGGUUUCUAUGUUUAGAUGAUCCAAAAAGACUAGUUUGGCUAAUUUGAGAUAGCUUUGGUAUCUGAAAACCUUUGUUAUAUGCAAUUCUUGUAUUUAUCUGCUCUGUUUUCUAUGCUGAUAGUAUAUAAGUGUAGGAGCUGUAUGUAGACUGACUGGGCUCUGUGCUCCUACAUACUGUAUGUGUGUUUGUACUGCAGCUGCUGUGUGCAUGUGGGGCAAAUCGGCGCAUGCAAAACGUGUUGCAUGAUUCCAGGAAUCCGGAGUCCUCUAGCAUGGAAUGACUGUCACACCGAAUUACAUAUCUGUCCCUCCUCAACUCUCUUCCUGUUUAGUUUCAAUCGGUGGAUAAAGAUUUAGACCACUGCUGAGCAACUCUGUCUGAAUUAUCUGUAUGACAACAGAGUAAAGAUGGGAAAGUCAAUUUUACCAUAAGUCUGACUUCAUUUUAUGUAUUCUAGAAAAAAAAAAAAGUACCUCAGAAAGGCUGUAUUUACACAUUAGAUCGCUCGGUUUGGGCUCUAGUCUUGUGCCAAGCCCUCGGUGGAAUACUUUAGUUAUCAGGUGCAGCAUUGUUGAAUUUCACCACUGAUUCAUCAGUAUGAGCACAUUUUUUGGAGCUAUCAUGUAUUUUAGAAAUUUAAUAGACUGGAUGUUUUAAGUCCCUGUGUGUGGAAGAAAAAAACAAGUAGAUAUUCCAGGUGUUUAUUUCUUCAUCCCAAGAAGUAAAUAGAUACAUGAUGAUACGAGUCCUCUCAUGAAGUGAUUCAGAAAGUAUUCAAGCGGUUGUCUUGCAGGAUGCAGGUGAACACAAGUGUCUCACAUUGAGAGUAUUUGGGAAUGUAACGUUCAUGUGUCUGACUGUGAUUUCUCUGCAAGUGAGGUGUAAUUGCAAAAUUCCCUGGGCAUAUGAAGUAUAUGAACAUUCCACCCAGCCAUUUCUUACUAGAGAUUUUAUCAGGAAUUAUAAAUAUAUAUUUAUUAUUAUUAUUAUGAAAUCAUGGAUUCCAGGACAGUGUUUUAGUUUGAAUAAGUUAAGUCACUCAUCUUUGUUUUUCUUUACAAAAUCUUGUCCCUCUGUUCUUUGUGAAGGAUAAUGUGUAUAAAUAAAUGUAUGACAAAAGUGA